rfam:TPA: Bos taurus chromosome 9, whole genome shotgun sequence.
UCCUUGGUGGCUCAGUGGUAAAGAAUCUGCCUUCAGUGCAGGAGAUGCAGGUUCAAUUCCUGGGUUGGGAA